rnacentral:rRNA from 1 species
GAUGAACGCUAGCGGGAGGCCUAACACAUGCAAGCCGAGCGGUAUUGUUUCUUCGGAAAUGAGAGAGCGGCGUACGGGUGCGGAACACGUGUGCAACCUGCCUUUAUCUGGGGGAUAGCCUUUCGAAAGGAAGAUUAAUACUCCAUAAUAUAUUGAUUGGCAUCAAUUAAUAUUGAAAGCUCCGGCGGAUAGAGAUGGGCACGCGCAAGAUUAGCUAGUUGGUGUGGUAACGGCUCACCAAGGCGAUGAUCUUUAGGGGGCCUGAGAGGGUGAUCCCCCACACUGGUACUGAGACACGGACCAGACUCCUACGGGAGGCAGCAGUGAGGAAUAUUGGUCAAUGGGUGCAAGCCUGAACCAGCCAUCCCGCGUGAAGGACGACUGCCCUAUGGGUUGUAAACUUCUUUUGUAUAGGGAUAAACCUACCCUCGUGAGGGUAGCUGAAGGUACUAUACGAAUAAGCACCGGCUAACUCCGUGCCAGCAGCCGCGGUAAUACGGAGGGUGCAAGCGUUAUCCGGAUUUAUUGGGUUUAAAGGGUCCGUAGGCGGACUUAUAAGUCAGUGGUGAAAGCCUGUCGCUUAACGAUAGAACUGCCAUUGAUACUGUAAGUCUUGAGUAUAUUUGAGGUAGCUGGAAUAAGUAGUGUAGCGGUGAAAUGCAUAGAUAUUACUUAGAACACCAAUUGCGAAGGCAGGUUACCAAGAUAUAACUGACGCUGAGGGACGAAAGCGUGGGGAGCGAACAGGAUUAGAUACCCUGGUAGUCCACGCCGUAAACGAUGCUAACUCGUUUUUGGGCUUUAGGGUUCAGAGACCAAGCGAAAGUGAUAAGUUAGCCACCUGGGGAGUACGCUCGCAAGAGUGAAACUCAAAGGAGUUGACGGGGGCCCGCACAAGCGGUGGAUUAUGUGGUUUAAUUCGAUGAUACGCGAGGAACCUUACCAAGACUUAAAUGGGAAUUGACAGCUUUAGAAAUAGAGCUUUCUUCGGACAAUUUUCAAGGUGCUGCAUGGUUGUCGUCAGCUCGUGCCGUGAGGUGUUAGGUUAAGUCCUGCAACGAGCGCAACCCCUGUCACUAGUUGCCAUCAUUCAGUUGGGGACUCUAGUGAGACUGCCUACGCAAGUAGAGAGGAAGGUGGGGAUGACGUCAAAUCAUCACGGCCCUUACGUCUUGGGCCACACACGUAAUACAAUGGCCGGUACAGAGGGCAGCUACACAGCGAUGUGAUGCAAAUCUCGAAAGCCGGUCUCAGUUCGGAUUGGAGCCUGCAACUCGACUCUAUGAAGCUGGAAUCGCUAGUAAUCGCGCAUCAGCCAUGGCGCGGUGAAUACGUUCCCGGGCCU